rnacentral:rRNA from 1 species
UACGUAGGGUGCAAGCGUUAAUCGGAAUUACUGGGCGUAAAGCGUGCGCAGGCGGCUCUGCAAGUCAGAUGUGAAAUCCCCGGGCUUAACCUGGGAACUGCAUUUGUGACUGCAUGGCUGGAGUGCGGCAGAGGGGGAUGGAAUUCCGCGUGUAGCAGUGAAAUGCGUAGAUAUGCGGAGGAACACCGAUGGCGAAGGCAGUCCCCUGGGCCUGUACUGACGCUCAUGCACGAAAGCGUGGGGAGCAAACAGG